GUCUGAAGCAGCAUAAGUUGUCCAGUUCAUUCCCCUUUAAUACCACUAUCCACCAUGUCACAGGACAGUGAAGCAAGAGGAGCAGCUCAUGUGCUUCACCAUGUACAGAAGGAACUAGAGUCAAAAGGAACAUACCGUCAGGACGCCAUUCAGACCGGGGGAACCUCUUGACCGACAGACGUCCACCUCGUUGCUGCUGCAUGCCUACUCUGACACUGGGGGAUAGGCCUGACGCACCUGCGAGAGGCAACACCCAACACUACAACCCAGCAGGCCUGGCGUGGAGCGAGAGACUGCCUAGCAAGCAGCCACCGACAACCGAAACUGCCAUUGAUGACCGAACCAGCCAUCGACUAGUCAUCAAGUAACGACCGCUGCUUGGGAGGAACAGCCGAUUCCUGCUCAGGUAGAGCCAAACGAACAAACCCUGCUUGGGUAGGGUCGAACAAAUGAACCCUGCUCGGAAAGAGUAGGACGAACAUUGGCCACCACUCCAUGAGUAAAUCAACUGCUGUGUUAGUUUCCCCGGUGCUCAUAGCCCUAAAUCCCAGCCUUUUUACAUGUUUUUAAUUGGGCUGUAGUGAUACUCUGGAUGGACAUUGUUGUACUUUGGCCUGUCUCUGUGGUUGUUUGCUGGGAGAUUUUAGAACUCUGCUUGUGACACGUGUGUUAUUAAAGUACAUGUUCUGUUAGCUAAACUCCAAUGACUUUAUCAUAGCUAAUUUUGUAAAUCUGAUGAUCUACUUUGAAAAAGUCAUUUCUGGAACUCUUAGAGUAAGGCUGACUCUAGACUGGCCAAGUGCAUUCUUGAACAACACCACUAUCAAUGCCCGCCCCACAUGCCCAACCUUUUCGUGGCUGUUUAUUUACCACCACAGACAGAUGCUGGCACUAAGACCGCACUCAGUCAGCUGUAUAAGGAAAUAAGCAAACAGGAAACC